rnacentral:rRNA from 1 species
UACAGAGGUCCGAGCGUUGUUCGGAUUCACUGGGCGUAAAGGGUGCGUAGGUGGCCUGAUAAGUAGGGGGUGAAAUCCUGCGGCUUAACCGCAGGGCUGCCUUCUAAACUGUCAGGCUUGAGCACAGUAGAGGCAGGUGGAAUUCCCGGUGUAGCGGUGGAAUGCGUAGAUAUCGUAAGGAAGACCGAGUGGCGAAGGCGGGGUCUCUGGACAGUUCCUGACGCUGGGGCACGAAGGUCAGGGGAGCAAACGGG